GGGGGCUUUCCGGGAUUAUUGGGCGUAAGAGCUCGUAGGCGGUUUGUCGCGUCUGCCGUGAAAGUCCGGGGCUCAACUCCGGAUCUGCGGUGGGUACGGGCAGACUAGAGUGAUGUAGGGGAGACUGGAAUUCCUGGUGUAGCGGUGAAAUGCGCAGAUAUCAGGAGGAACACCGAUGGCGAAGGCAGGUCUCUGGGCAUUAACUGACGCUGAGGAGCGAAAGCAUGGGGAGCGAACAGGAUUAGAUACCCUGGUAGUCCAUGCCGUAAACGUUGGGCACUUGGUGUGGGGGACAUUCCACGUUUUCCGCGCCGUAGCUAACGCAUUAAGUGCCCCGCCUGGGGAGUACGGCCGCAAGGCUAAAACUCAAAGGAAUUGACGGGGGCCCGCACAAGCGGCGGAGCAUGCGGAUUAAUUCGAUGCAACGCGAAGAACCUUACCAAGGCUUGACAUGAACCGGUAAGACCUGGAAACAGGUCCCCCACUUGUGGCCGGUUUACAGGUGGUGCAUGGUUGUCGUCAGCUCGUGUCGUGAGAUGUUGGGUUAAGUCCCGCAACGAGCGCAACCCUCGUUCCAUGUUGCCAGCGCGUUAUGGCGGGGACUCAUGGGAGACUGCCGGGGUCAACUCGGAGGAAGGUGGGGACGACGUCAAAUCAUCAUGCCCCUUAUGUCUUGGGCUUCACGCAUGCUACAAUGGCCGGUACAAAGGGUUGCGAUACUGUGAGGUGGAGCUAAUCCCAAAAAGCCGGUCUCAGUUCGGAUUGGGGUCUGCAACUCGACCCCAUGAAGUCGGAGUCGCUAGUAAUCGCAGAUCAGCAACGCUGCGGUGAAUACGUUCCCGGGCCUUGUACACACCGCCCGUCAAGUCACGAAAGUUGGUAACACCCGAAGCCGGUGGCCUAACCCCUUGUGGGGAGGGAGCUGUCGAAGUGGGACUGGCGAUUGGGACUAAGUCGUAACAAGGUAACC
rnacentral:rRNA from 1 species